rnacentral:lncRNA from 1 species
AGAAAAGAAGAAUAAAAAUGGUAAAUUCAAAACAAUAUUUGAAAUUAAUAGAAUUAGUUUACAAACAAUUCAAUGAACAAAAAGAACCAAGUAAACAUAUUUCAUGAUACAUAGCAAGUACUUUCAUGACAUACUAUUGCAAUUCAUCCUCUGAUUUCUGCCCUUGUUUGACCAUCCAUGCUUUCAUCGUCUCCACGAGCAGCUUGCGCACAAACUAUUAAACAUUCUUUUUGGCAUUCAGUAAGUGAAAAUAUUCAUGUGUACGCAUACAGUGUAGCAUGAGGACAAACAGUGAGGAUCUGCAAUACCAUCUUUGCCAUUUUGAUCAGCUUGAGCCAAGGCCAUAAGUACGAAGAACAUCACCGCCAUAAUCCUAACCUUGUUGCUGGCGGCCAUGGUAUAAUUAAUUAUAGAUUAAGAAAAAUCACAACGAUCUAUGGAUCGAAUGAUCGAUUAAUUAAUUAGAAUGUGUAGAUUAAGGGUGAAGAAUUAAUUAAGAGGCAAUAUAUAGAGUUUUCAUUCACCUUUUUUCGGAGGA